AAGGAAUGUCAUUGCCAUGUCAG
rnacentral:snRNA from 1 species